CGCUAAUACCGCAUAUUCUGCGAGCAGGAAAGGCAGGGGAGUCGCAAGACCUUGCGCUCUGGGAGCGGCCGAUGUCGGAUUAGCUAGUUGGUGGGGUAAAGGCCUACCAAGGCGACGAUCCGUAGCGGGUCGUGAGAGGAUGAUCCGCCACACUGGGACUGAGACACGGUCCAGACUCCUACGGGAGGCAGCAGUGGGGAAUAUUGCGCAAUGGGCGAAAGCCUGACGCAGCCACGCCGCGUGAGCGAUGAAGGCCUUCGGGUCGUAAAGCUCUGUGGGGAGAGAAGAAUAAAGCCUGUGAAGAAUGGGCCUUGACGGUAUCUCCUUAGCAAGCACCGGCUAACUCCGUG
rnacentral:rRNA from 1 species